CUGGCCAUCGUGUGCUACUUCAUCCAGAAGUACUUCCGGGUGGCGUCCAGGGACCUGCAGCAGCUGGAUGACACCACCCAGCUUCCACUUCUCUCACACUUUGCCGAAACCGUGGAAGGGCUCACCACCAUCCGGGCCUUCAGCUGCCAACAGAUGGCUGGAAGUCCGAAUGGAGUACAUUGGUGCAUGUGUGGUGCUCAUCGCAGCGGUGACCUCCAUCUCCAACUCCCUGCACAGGGAGCUCUCUGCUGGCCUGGUGGGUCUGGGCCUCACCUACGCCCUAAUGGUCUCCAACUACCUCAACUGGAUGGUGAGGAACCUCGCAGACAUGGAGCUCCAGCUGGGGGCUGUGAAGCGCAUCCAUGGGCUCCUGAAAACCGAGGCAGAGAGCUACGAGGGGCUCCUGGGUGAGAGGCUCAGGGAGAGGGGUGGGGAAGAGUCCAAGGAGGAGUGUGUCUGGGUUGGGGGCCACAAGGGAGCCUGGGGAUGGGGUGGCACUUUCGGAUACUAGCUGUGGCCCAUGCCUGGUGGCUGAGCCCAGCCUGGCCCCCAGCACCAUCGCUGAUCCCAAAGAACUGGCCAGACCAAGGGAAGAUCCAGAUCCAGAACCUGAGCGUGCGCUACGACAGCUCCCUGAAGCCGGUGCUGAAGCACGUCAACGCCCU
rnacentral:sRNA from 1 species